AACGGCGGCCGUAACUAUAACGGUCCUAAGGUAGCGAAAUUCCUUGUCAGGUAAGUUCUGACCCGCACGAAAGGCGUAACGAUUUGGGCGCUGUCUCGGCAGCAGACUCGGUGAAAUCUUAGUACCUGUGAAAAUGCAGGUUACCCGCAACUAGACGGAAAGACCCCAUGGAGCUUUACUGUAGCCUGAUAUUGAAUUUUGAUCAAAGAUGUACAGGAUAGGUGGGAGGCGAAGAGACGUGUACGCCAGUAUACGAGGAGCCGCUGUUGGGAUACCACUCUUGUUUGAUUGAAGUUCUAACCUGCACCCAUGAACUGGGUGAGGGACCGUGUCAGGUGGGCAGUUUGACUGGGGCGGUCGCCUCCUAAAGAGUAACGGAGGCGCCCAAAGGUACGCUCAGAUUGGAUGGAAAUCAAUCGACGAGUGCAAAUGCAGAAGCGUGCUUGACUGUGAGACAAACAAGUCGAACAGGGACGAAAGUCGGGAUUAGUGAUCCGGCGGUGCCGAAUGGAAGGGCCGUCGCUCAACGGAUAAAAGCUACCCUGGGGAUAACAGGCUGAUCUCGCCCAAGAGUUCACAUCGACGGCGAGGUUUGGCACCUCGAUGUCGGCUCAUCGCAUCCUGGAGCUGAAUUCGGUUCCAAGGGUUGGGCUGUCCGCCCAUUAAAGCGGUACGCGAGCUGGGUUCAGAACGUCGUGAGACAGUUCGGUCCCUAUCUGUUGUGGGCGUUGGAGAUCUGAGGAGAGCUGUCCUUAGUACGAGAGGACCGGGAUGGACCUACCGCUGGUGCACCAGUUGUUCCGCCAGGAGCAUAGCUGGGUAGCUAAGUAGGGAAGGGAUAAGCGCUGAAAGCAUCUAAGCGCGAAGCCUACUCCAAGAUGAGAUCUCCCAUUCGUAUAACGAAGUAAGACCCCUUGAAGACGACGAGGUGGAUAGGUCAGAGAUGGAAGUGUAGCGAUACAUGGAGUUGACUGAUACUAAUAGGUCGAGGACUUAAUCAC
rnacentral:rRNA from 1 species